GAUCCUGGCUCAGAUUAAACGCUGGCGGCAUGCCUUACACAUGCAAGUCGAACGGCAGCACGGGGGCAACCUGGUGGCGAGUGGCGAACGGGUGAGUAAUGCAUCGGAACGUGCCAUUGAGUGGGGGAUAACGUAGCGAAAGUUGCGCUAAUACCGCAUAUUCUGUGAGCAGGAAAGCAGGGGGACCGCAAGGCCUUGCGCUCUUUGAGCGGCCGAUGUCAGAUUAGCUAGUUGGUGAGGUAACGGCUUACCAAGGCGACGAUCUGUAGCGGGUCUGAGAGGAUGAUCCGCCACACUGGAACUGAGACACGGUCCAGACUCCUACGGGAGGCAGCAGUGGGGAAUUUUGGACAAUGGGCGCAAGCCUGAUCCAGCCAUGCCGCGUGAGUGAAGAAGGCCUUCGGGUUGUAAAGCUCUUUCGGCCGGGAAGAAAUCGCAUGGGUUAAUACCCUGUGUGGAUGACGGUACCGGAAUAAGAAGCACCGGCUAACUACGUG
rnacentral:rRNA from 1 species